GACGAACGCUGGCGGCGUGCUUAACACAUGCAAGUCGAACGGAAAGGCCCUGCUUUUGUGGGGUGCUCGAGUGGCGAACGGGUGAGUAACACGUGAGUAACCUGCCCUUGACUUUGGGAUAACUUCAGGAAACUGGGGCUAAUACCGGAUAGGAGCUCCUGCUGCAUGGUGGGGGUUGGAAAGUUUCGGCGGUUGGGGAUGGACUCGCGGCUUAUCAGCUUGUUGGUGGGGUAGUGGCUUACCAAGGCUUUGACGGGUAGCCGGCCUGAGAGGGUGACCGGGCACAUUGGGACUGAGGGACGGCCCAGACUGCUACGGGAGGCAGCAGUGGGAAAUAUUGCGCAAUGGGCGGAAGCCUGAUGCAGCAGCGCCGGGUGCGGGAUGACGGCCUUCGGGUUGUAAACCGCUUUCGCCUGUGACGAAGCGUGAGUGACGGUAAUGGGUCAAGAAGCACCGGCUAACUACGUG
rnacentral:rRNA from 1 species